GACGGAGGGUGCAAGCGUUGCUCGGAAUUACUGGGCGUAAAGGGCGCGUAGGCGGUCCGCUAAGUUCGGUGUGAAAGCCCCCGGCUCAACUGGGGAAGGGCGCCGGAUACUGGCGGACUAGAGUACCGGAGAGGAGGGUGGAAUUCCUGGUGUAGCGGUGAAAUGCGUAGAUAUCAGGAGGAACACCGGUGGCGAAGGCGGCCCUCUGGACGGAUACUGACGCUGAGGCGCGAAAGCGUGGGGAUCAAACAGG
rnacentral:rRNA from 1 species